rnacentral:rRNA from 1 species
AGUGAACGCUGGCGGCAUGCCUAAUACAUGCAAGUCGAACGAAAGCACAGUAAGAGUUCGCUUUUGCGGGUGGCGAGUGGCGGGUGGGUGACACGUACAUCGGCAUCUAAUUUUUCGUGGGGAACAUCGUAGAGAAGGUUACGAUACUAGAGCAUAUGAUGUACGGCAUAAUGCAAGGGUUCUACGGACCUUUCGUGUCUCAUUGAGCUGCGAGCGGAUUAGCUAGUUUGCGGGGUAAAGGCCCAGCAAGGCGACGAUCCGUUGCUGGACUGAGAGGAUGAUCGGCCACACUGGAACUGAGACACGGUCCAGACUCCUACGGGAGGCAGCAGUGGGGAAUAUUGGACAAUGGGCGCAAGCCUGAUCCAGCCAUACCGCGUGGGUGAAGAAGGCCUUCGGGUUGUAAAGCCCUUUUGUUGGGAAAGAAAAGCAGCAGGAUAAUACCCCGCUGUUCUGACGGUACCCAAAGAAGAAGCACCGGCUAACUUCGUG